CCCGCGCGGGCUUCUCUGGCCAGUCGCGCGUGGGCUGAGGCCCUGGGCGGGCCGUGCGAAGGCUUGUUUGCCAAAGCGGGGUCCCCGCCGCAGUCUGGAGCUCCCUUCUUCAGGGGAGGGGGAAAAGGGUGUAGCCCCCCCCACCUAGGGUGAAUGGGCUGUCGCGUGGGCUGCUAAGGGCAGGCUGGGGAGCACGGGGGCCGGGGCCGCGACCAUGAACUCACCCGUGGACCCCGGAGCUAGGCAGGCGCUGAAGAAGAAGCCGCCCGAGCGGACGCCCGAGGACUUAAAUACUAUUUAUUCUUAUCUUCAUGGAAUGGAAAUAUUAUCAAAUCUCAGGGAACAUCAGCUUAGAUUAAUGUCUGCAAGAGCACGCUAUGAGAGAUACAGUGGCAAUCAAGUUCUUUUUUGUUCAGAAACUAUUGCCAGAUGUUGGUAUAUCCUGCUUUCUGGAUCUGUGCUUAUGAAAGACUCCAUGGUUUUGCCUCCUUGCAGUUUUGGUAAGCAGUUUGGAGGAAAAAGAGGAUGUGAUUGUCUUGUAUUAGAGCCUUCAGAAAUGAUUGUGGUAGAGAAUUCCAAAGAUAAUGAAGAUAGUAUUCUACAAAGAGAAAUUCCUGCCAGACAGUCUCGACGAAGGUUUCGGAAAAUUAACUGUAAAGGAGAACGUCAAACUAUUACUGAUGAUGUGGACAUUAACAGCUAUCUUUCUCUUCCAGCCGAUCUUACCAAGAUGCACAUUGCAGACAACCCUCAUCCACAGGUGACUCAUGUGUCUUCUAGUCAGUCUGGUUGUAGCAUUGCCAGUGACUCUGGGAGCAGCAGUUUAUCAGAUAUCUAUCAGGCUACGGAAAGUGAGGUAGGAGAUGUAGAUUUAACACGUCUUCCAGAAGGACCUGUUGAUUCUGAAGAUGAAGAAGAGGAAGAUGAAGAGAUUGAUCGAACAGAUCCACUGCAGGGGCGAGAUCUUGUUCGAGAAUGUCUUGAAAAAGAACCUGCAGACAAAACUGAUGAUGACAUUGAACAGUUACUGGAGUUUAUGCACCAGCUUCCUGCUUUUGCAAACAUGACCAUGUCUGUAAGGAGAGAACUCUGCUCAGUGAUGAUUUUUGAAGUGGUGGAGCAGGCUGGAGCUAUUAUUCUUGAAGAUGGGCAAGAGCUUGACUCAUGGUAUGUUAUUUUAAACGGCACUGUAGAAAUUAGUCAUCCAGAUGGAAAAGUUGAAAAUCUCUUUAUGGGAAAUAGUUUUGGAAUUACACCCACUCUGGAUAAGCAGUACACUCAUGGAGUUGUUAGGACUAAAGUAGACGAUUGUCAGUUUGUCUGCAUAGCCCAGCAGGAUUAUUGGAGAAUUUUAAAUCAUGUGGAAAAAAAUACCCAUAAAGUUGAGGAAGAAGGAGAAAUUGUUAUGGUACAUGAGCACCGUGAACUAGAUCGCAGUGGAACCAGGAAAGGACACAUUGUAAUCAAGGCAACACCUGAGCGUCUCAUCAUGCAUUUAAUAGAAGAGCAUUCCAUUGUGGACCCAACUUAUAUAGAAGAUUUCCUAUUAACUUAUAGAACAUUUCUUGAAAGUCCUUUGGAUGUUGGGACCAAACUAUUGGAAUGGUUCAAAAUUGACAGCUUAAGGGAUAAGGUGACACGGAUUGUACUAUUAUGGGUAAAUAAUCAUUUUAAUGAUUUUGAAGGUGAUCCUGCUAUGACUCGAUUUCUGGAGGAAUUUGAAAAAAAUCUGGAAGAUACAAAAAUGAAUGGUCAUCUCCGGUUAUUGAAUAUUGCCUGUGCUGCAAAGGCUAAGUGGAGACAGGUUGUGCUGCAAAAGGCUUCCCGGGAGUCCCCUCUGCAUUUCAGCCUAAAUGGAGGAAGUGAGAAGGCAUUUGGUAUUUUUGUUGAAGGUGUAGAACCUGGUAGCAAAGCUGCUGAUGCAGGACUGAAACGUGGUGAUCAGAUAAUGGAAGUAAAUGGACAAAACUUUGAGAAUAUAACGUUUGUGAAGGCCCUUGAAAUUUUGAGGAAUAAUACUCAUCUUGCGCUUACUGUAAAGACCAACAUUUUUGUGUUCAAAGAGUUACUUACUAGGACCGAACAAGAGAAAUCUGGUGUUCCUCAUAUUCCCAAAAUUGCUGAAAAAAAAAGUAAUCGCCACUCAAUCCAGGAUGUACCAGGAGAUAUUGAACAGACAUCACAGGAGAAAGGAAACAAGAAAAUAAAAGCAAAUACUGUUUCAGGUGGAAGAAACAAAAUCAGGAAAAUUUUGGAUAAAACACGAUUUAGUAUCUUGCCUCCAAAACUGUUUAGUGAUGUAGGCCUGAGCCAAUCACAGGACGACAGCAUUGUGGGAACGAGACACUGUAGGCACAGUUUGGCCAUAAUGCCUAUCCCUGGAACACUCUCAUCCAGCAGCCCCGAUCUCCUGCAGCCUACCACCAGCAUGUUGGAUUUUUCUAAUCCCUCAGAUAUUCCUGAUCAAGUUAUAAGAGUUUUCAAAGCAGAUCAACAAAGUUGCUACAUUAUCAUCUGUAAAGACACUACAGCUAAAGAAGUUGUUUGUCAAGCUAUUCAUGAAUUUGGUUUGACUGGUGCAUCUGACACAUAUUCUCUCUGUGAAGUUUCUGUUACUCCUGAGGGUGUCAUAAAACAGAGGAGACUUCCGGACCAGUUCUCCAAAUUAGCUGAUAGAAUUCAGCUCAAUGGAAGGUAUUAUUUAAAAAAUAACAUGGAAACAGAAACCCUCUGUUCAGAUGAAGAUGCUCAAGAACUAAUUAAGGAAAGCCAGCUAUCCAUGCUGCAGCUCAGUACUAUUGAGGUGGCCACUCAGCUGUCAAUGAGGGACUUUGAUUUAUUUCGUAAUAUUGAGCCUACUGAAUAUAUUGAUGACCUUUUUAAGUUAGAUUCAAAAACAGGAAAUACUCACUUGAAAGAAUUUGAAGAUAUUGUAAACCAAGAGACAUUCUGGGUGGCCUCAGAGAUUUUAACUGAAUCAAAUCAGCUCAAACGAAUGAAGAUUAUUAAACAUUUUAUUAAAAUUGCACUUCAUUGUCGAGAAUGUAAGAACUUCAAUUCCAUGUUUGCAAUAAUAAGUGGCUUGAACCUGGCAUCUGUAGCACGACUCAGAGGUACUUGGGAAAAGUUACCAAGCAAGUAUGAGAAACACCUCCAAGAUCUACAAGACCUUUUUGAUCCAUCUAGAAACAUGGCAAAAUAUAGAAAUAUUCUUAGUAGUCAAAGCAUGCAGCCUCCAAUUAUUCCACUCUUCCCUGUUGUCAAGAAAGAUAUGACAUUUCUACAUGAAGGAAAUGAUUCCAAAGUAGAUGGUUUAGUAAAUUUUGAGAAGCUCAGAAUGAUUGCCAAGGAAAUUCGUCAAGUUGUUCGAAUGACUUCUGCUAACAUGGACCCAGCUAUGAUGUUCCGACAGAGGUCACUGAGUCAAGGCAGCACAAAUUCAAACAUGCUGGAUGUUCAGGGAGGUGCUCACAAAAAAAAGGCACGCCGUAGCUCUCUGCUUAAUGCUAAGAAGCUGUACGAAGAUGCCCAAAUGGCAAGGAAAGUGAAGCAGUAUCUUUCCAGUCUGGAUGUAGAAACAGAUGAGGAGAAGUUCCAGAUGAUGUCAUUGCAAUGGGAGCCUGCAUAUGGUACCUUGACCAAGAAUCUAAGUGAGAAAAGAUCAGUCAAGUCAUCAGAAAUGUCUCCAGUGCCUGUGAGGUCAGCUGGCCAAGCAGCUAAAGCCUAUUUGCAUCAGCCCCACAGAGUGAGCCAGGUGCUUCAGGUGCCAGCUGUAAAUUUGCACCCCAUCAGGAAGAAGGGACAAGCAAAAGACCCUGCCACACUGAGUACAAGUUUACCUCAGAAAAUUUUAGGAACAACUGAAGAAAUAAGUGGUAAGAAACAUACAGAAGACACUAUUUCUAUGGCAUCAUCCUUACAUUCUAGUCCUCCUGCGUCUCCUCAAGGUUCCCCUCGCAAAGGUUAUACACUUAUACCAUCAGCUAAAUCUGACAACUUGUCUGACUCCAGCCAUAGUGAGAUUUCUUCACGGUCCAGCAUUGUGAGCAAUUGCUCUGUUGACUCCAUGUCUGCAGCUCUACAGGAUGAACGGUGUUCCUCCCAGGCUGUGGCAGUCCCUGAAUCCACUGGAGCAUUUGAAAAGACAGAGCACUCCUCAGGGAUAGGAGACCAUAGUCAGCCUGGCCCUGGGUGGACACUCUCAAAGCCAUCACUAAUCAAGAAUUUAGCUGUCUCAUCUUCUGUGAGCAAUGAUGAGAUUUCUCACGAGCAUAUUAUUAUAGAAGCAGCUGAUAGUGGUCGUGGAAGUUGGACUUCCUGUUCAAGCAGCUCCCAUGACAACUUCCAAAGCCUUCCAAACCCAAAAGGCUGGGAUUUUUUGAACUCUUAUCGAUAUACCCAUUUGGAUGGUCCCAUAGCUGAAGUUGAACCCACUGACUGUGAGCCCUGUGCCUGUCCUAAAGGCUGCUCUCGAACUUGUGGUCAGUGUAAAGGGAGCCUAGAGACUAAUCAGAUGAGGCAGAGUUGGGCUUCCUCUAGUUCUCUGUCUGAUACAUACGAACCAAACUAUGGGACAGUUAAACGGAGAGUGUUGGAGAGCACCCCAGCUGAGUCAUCUGAAGGCUUGGACCACAAGGACGGCAUCGACCCCGUUUAUAAAACUGUUACUUCGAGUACAGAAAAGGGCUUGAUUGUGUACUGUGUCACCUCACCCAAGAAGGAGGAUAGGUAUAGGGAGCCACCUCCCACUCCUCCAGGAUACAUGGGAAUUUCUUUAGCAGACCUAAAGGAAGGACCCCACCUACACCUAAAACCUCCAGAUUAUAGUGUGGCAGUGCAGAGGUCAAAGAUGAUGCAUAACAGCCUCUCUAGACUGCCACCAGCUUCUCUCAGUAGCAACCCUGUGGCCUGUGUUCCAUCGAAGAUCGUAACUCAGCCUCAGAGGCAUAAUUUGCAGCCAUCCCAUCCUAAACUAGCAGAUGUGACUGACGCAGAUAGCGAAGCAGAUGAAAAUGAACAGGUUUCAGCAGUGUAGCCUUUGGAUUGACCUGAUUGAAGUCUACUGAAAGUCACGGAGGAAGGAGUGGGCAGAACCAACUCACAAUUCUGCAGGCUGUUGCCAACAAAUAGCUCGCUGCUCCUGCUGCUAACCCAGAGGUUUUAAUCCCUGUACUCUGAGCAAUGAGAUAGCCCUGAAUCAUGCUUCCUUUCAUUUAAUCCCUGCAGAUGCAUAGUUUCCUCAGCUAUGGAUGUUGUGCCUGGAUACCAGUCUUCGCUUUGCACACCAGACCUGCCUUGGGACCACAGUUACUAGAACAAAUUCAAACUCGAGUCCUCCCCAUAUAUAUCACUAUAGAUUUUCCUUUAACAUGUUAUUUUUAAGAUAGUAGUAGUGGUAGUAUUUUCAAGCCAUAGCUUGGGUUAACAGACAAAUUCAGAAUGUCUGCCAAUACCAAGGAUAUUUUUAUGUAUUUGAAAAGUAACUUAUUAUUUGAAGUUUUGUGGUUUUGUUUGUAUUUGGGAGCUCUUGUUAAUUGAUGUUCAUGUUUGAGGCCAUAAAACUGUCUCUGAUCUGACCAAACUGAAGCCAUCUUUACAGGAUGAUAUGUUUGAUCUAUACAGAGAUGUAACCAUCUAUAGCACCAACGAAACGUAGGGUCUCAGUUUGAGUGGAACAGGAAUCCCUUUGCUGUUGAGGUGUUAGGAAGGAGAAUACUGCCAUCUGCUGGUCAGGAUUUGGAAAGCCAAAUGAAGCUACCACAGGGUCCUAGCAGUCUCUUGGGAAAAGGAAGGGGUAUGAUGGGGUGUGUAGCAACCCUAAUUUCCAAAGAAUGAAAUGUUUAUCUUACAUAACAUGUAUACCAACUGAAGUGAAAGUCAUUCUCUGUCUAACUGUAGCUAUAAGUAUAAAUCCAGUAAAUAGAGAAUGAGUUCUAGACAGUUCUACUCUGUAGAAACCCAUACCUAAAAUUUUUCACAACUCAAAUAUGGAGUUUUUUUAAAGGACAUGUUAUCUUUGGCGGUAUAGUCAUGAAGAUCAAUUUAGCUUUAUGCGGUGUUCUGCAGCACCCGCCACCCAACCCCCAUCUUACAGCACAAGGCUGUGUUUAAUCUUCAUAAACCCUGCAGCUCCCAGUUGCCUGCAGGUAAAGCUCAUUAGCACACCAAGGUCUAUAAUUGGUUGAAAAUUUUGUGGGGGAAAGAGGAGCUAGAAUUAUGGAAGUGAUUAUUUCUUGGUUUUCACUUUAGGCCUUGAGAGGAAGGAGACAUAUAUAUUUAACAGCCUUUUGGGCGUGGCACUCUUAAGUAUUUAAUUAAAAUUUCAUUGACUAUUUACUGGAUGAGGUAGACUUUCCGUAUUUAAAAAAGAUUAAGUAUGAUGUUUUCUACAUCUUAAGUUUAAAUUUUUUCAUUUGUUUUUUAGUGUAAAGGCAAGUGAAAGGUUAAUAAACUUCUGUGACUACCAAAAAAAAAAAAAGCCAAAGCUAUUAAUGUGUACUACCCAAAUCAACUUGGAGCCAAAAAUAGGUUUACUUCUGAAUGGUUAUCCGUAUGUGAAUUUAUAGGAUUUAGUUGGCUUAUUACUUCCUUUUGAAAAGUUCUCAUUUUUUCCUAGCUCUCUCUUCCUUCUCUCUAUCAUCCUCCUAUUUCCUUCAUUUUAAAAUCAUAAAUCAGUGCCAACUGGUAAAUGGCAGUAGUCCAUCUUUUCUAUCAAAAUGAUAAUUUCUUCAUUUUAGGAAAAAUAGCAUGUCUGAAAAAUUCCCAUGGGCAAAAACUGUAAAUACGAAACUUAAGCCUUAGAAAUUAACCCCAGGUAUGUUAGAAUGAGGCUAGUUGGCUCCAUAGCUUUCUUGGCCCAUUGAAAUGGAAAGUAACCUGGAUCAAAAAUCCUGGUUUGAAAGUCACACUGUAAAGGUUUGAUCUAUAAACAGUGGUCCUGUGAUCAUAAAUUUUUCUUUCACUGAUUUAGACAAUAUUAUUUUCAUGUCCAGAGCAAAACAAAGUGAAAGAUAUUUUUGCUACAACCAUCUUUUUAUCCAGUUUGGGUAUUUAUUCUCACCAUUUUAUAUCCACUCCCCGGAAAAAUGUGCUGUUUGCACAGUAUCUGUUUUUUUAGCAGGUCUUUCAAACCAGAUGGGAGCCUUCUCCAUCGUUGUCCUCAAUGUUGUGGAUAAUAUCUUGCACAGAGAGUCAGAGGCUUGUGGUUUUGGACUUGCAUCUUGUAGCUGCCUUUGUUUCCUGUAGCUUGAAAUAAAAGUCUACUGGCAGACUGUUAUGGGCUGGUAUGGGGAUUCUACAGUUCUGUUGCGGUCUCAUGGAUUCUGACGUUUACACCUGAGGGCAUCACCGCAGUGCUUCAAGAUGGAAGGGUUUGCAGGAAAGGUGCAAAUGUGUAGCCCUUUUAUUAGCAAAACAACAGCUUUUCUAGAACUCCACUUGCAUAAUUCUGCUUACCUCCCACUAGUCAAAACUGUCACAUGACCAGUGGCUGCAAGGAAACCUGGGAAAUGAACUUUUUUAGCUGAGCAGUGGAUGGCUCCAAAUAAAAGUGGUAUUCUUUUCAGUGAAGAAGGAAAGAAUGGAUAUUGAAUGGGCAGCUAGCUCGGUCUACCACAGCAUGCCUAUUGCCCACUCCUUCAGGAAGUGCAUUUACAUGUAAGUGCAGUAAUUUAUUCAUUGGGAUCAGAUCCUAGGACCCUGGCAAAGAAGGGGGAAAUUCUUCUUUAGUACUCCUUUGUAAAGUUUCCCAGUCGCUCCUCUGUACCCAGAGAAUAUUACUCCCCUGCUAGGUAAGGCUUCUACCUCCUCCCAGUUUACCCCCUCCCAACACACACACACCAAGGUUUCCUCAGGGCCACUCCUUCCCCUGAUCUCUCCACAGUUACUAGUUUAUUCCUUUAUUUCGAAAAUACUAAACACAAGUGUAGUAGGUUGAAUAAUAACUACUUAAAAAUAUCAAGCUCUAAUCCCUGGAACUUUAAAGGUUACUGAGAAGGGUCUUUGCAGAUUUAAUUAAAGUUAAGCAUUCUGAGAUGAGGCAAUUACUUUGGAUUCUCUGGGUGGGCCCUAAAUGCUAUCACAAGUGUCCUUAGAGAGGCAAAGGGCGAUAACACAGAGGACGAGGCACUGUGAAGCCGGCAAGAGAGCUGUAGCUGUGGGCAGCAGAAUACUAACAGCCACCAGGAACUAGAAGAUACAAGCAAGAGCUCCUUCCUUAGAGCCUCCAGAGGAAGUGCCACCCUGCCAACAUCUUGAUUUUGGUCUUCUCACCUGUUGUUUCAACCAACCCAUUUUUGGUAAUGUAUUAAUAGCAGCCCUAGGAAACUUAAUACAUGCUACUGUUUUUGUCUGACUUUGAGGACCCAGAACCUGCAAUUAAAGGAUAUAGUGGUCCAUAAGUACACCACAGGAACUGUGAGCCCUGUCUCACUACCUUCAAGAAGAAUUUGUUAAACCAAGAUAAGAGAGGCCCAGAGGCCUCCUCUCCAGUAGCCUGGUCAGCCUAUUGUUUUUCCAAGUGUUCACAGAAGGGACAUUGCUAUCAUCCUUGCCACACACGAUAUUUUUCAUUUUUCUCAUUCCAGGCAUUCUGGGCUCCCAAAGGAAAUCUUCCAGAAAAUACAAAUGGCCCAACUCUGAACAGGAAUGGAAAGCAGGAAGCGCAUGCAGGGGACAGAUGCUGGGUUGUGGUCUGGAGAUCUGCUGAGGACCCAGGUGCUCAGGAUGGCAGGAGGUUGGGAAUCCUGUGUGGACUCACUGCUUGGAGCUGAACACUGAACCUGCUUUCUGGCUUCUGACCUCCCCAAAGCCCGCAAGCCCACUGCAGCCUGGACCUCAGGUGAGACUAAAAUCAUCCUUUCUUUGGUACCACUCUUACAGUAAUUGUGAAGUCCCAGAUCAAACAUUUGGAUCUUCUUAGGAAGUAUCUUUUGGACAUCAAAGGCAGAUCAGCUAGAACACUAUCAAGAUGAUGCAAUUGAGAGAAUACUGUGUGGCAAUUCUCAUGAUAUACAGCCAAACCUAACUGACCUAUUCUCAGUACCUGACCAAUGCAUUAAAGAAAGAUUCUCAAACAAGAUCUGUGUCUCUGGGAUUGACACCUACAAAGACUCAAAAUUGAAGAACUGUAAGGACUGAGUAUUCUAGUGCCUGCUGUACUGGGUAAAUUAAAUCCAAAAGAACUGGGGGAAGAAAUGCUUCCAUGUUUUGCCUAUAUAAACCCAAUAUUUAGUUAGUUAC